rnacentral:rRNA from 1 species
GCCAGAGGUCCCGAGCGUUAGGCGGAAUCACUGGGCUUAAAGCGUGUGUAGGCGGCGGCCUAAGUACCUUGUGAAAUCCCACGGCUCACCCGUGGAACUGCUCGGUAUACUGGGUCGCUUGAGCCACUUAGGGGCUACCGGAACAAAUGGUGGAGCGGUGAAAUGCGUAGAUAUCAUUUGGAACGCCAAUGGUGAAAACAGGUAGCUGGGAGUGUGCUGACGCUGAGACACGAAAGCCAGGGGAGCAAACGGG